UACGUAGGGUGCGAGCGUUGUCCGGAAUUAUUGGGCGUAAAGAGCUUGUAGGCGGUCUGUCGCGUCUGCUGUGAAAAUCCGGGGCUCAACCCCGGACUUGCAGUGGGGUACGGGCAGACUAGAGUGUGGUAGGGGAGACUGGAAUUCCUGGUGUAGCGGUGAAAUGCGCAGAUAUCAGGAGGAACACCGAUGGCGAAGGCAGGUCUCUGGGCCACUACUGACGCUGAGAAGCGAAAGCAUGGGGAGCGAACAGG
rnacentral:rRNA from 1 species